rnacentral:rRNA from 1 species
GACGAACGCUGGCGGCGUGCCUAACACAUGCAAGUCGAGCGGGGAACAGAUGGUAGCUUGCUACUGUUUGUUUCUAGCGGCGGACGGGUGAGUAACGCGUGAGCAACCUGCCUUUAUCAGGGGGAUAACGCAUCGAAAGAUGUGCUAAUACCGCGUAAGACCACAGCUUCACAUGGAGCGGGGGUCAAAGGAGCAAUCCGGAUAAAGAUGGGCUCGCGUCCGAUUAGCUAGUUGGUGAGAUAACAGCCCACCAAGGCGACGAUCGGUAGCCGACCUGAGAGGGUGAUCGGCCACAUUGGAACUGAGAGACGGUCCAGACUCCUACGGGAGGCAGCAGUGGGGAAUAUUGGGCAAUGGGCGAAAGCCUGACCCAGCAACGCCGCGUGAGGGAAGAAGGGUUUCGGCUCGUAAACCUCUGUCCUAUGGGACGAAGGAAGUGACGGUACCAUAGGAGGAAGUCCCGG